rnacentral:rRNA from 1 species
GUAGGUGGCAAGCGUUGUCCGGAAUUAUUGGGCGUAAAGCGCGCGCAGGUGGUUCUUUAAGUCUGAUGUGAAAGACCCCCGGGCUCAACCGGGGAGGGUCAUUGGAAACUGGGGAACUUGAGUGCAGGAGAGGAAAGUGGAAUUCCACGUGUAGCGGUGAAAUGCGUAGAUAUGUGGAGGAACACCAGUGGCGAAGGCGACUUUCUGGCCUGUAACUGACACUGAGGCGCGAAAGCGUGGGGAGCAAACAGGAUUAGAUACCCUGGUAGUCCACGCCGUAAACGAUGAGUGCUAAGUGUUGGGGGGUUUCCGCCCCUCAGUGCUGCAGCUAACGCAUUAAGCACUCCGCCUGGGGAGUACGGUCGCAAAGACUAA